rnacentral:rRNA from 1 species
GGUCCCUACGGGAGGCAGCAGUGGGGGAUAUUGCACAAUGGGGGGAACCCUGAUGCAGCGACGCCGCGUGGGUGAAGGAGUAUUUCGGUAUGUAAAGCCCUCUCGGCAGGGAAGAAGAAAGACGGUACCUGACUAAGAAGCCCCGGCUAACUACGUGCCAGCAGCCGCGGUAAUACGUAGGGGGCGAGCGUUAUCCGGAUUCACUGGGUGUAAAGGGAGCGUAGACGGCCAAGCAAGCCAGGGGUGAAAGCCCGGGGCCCAACCCCGGGACUGCUCUCGGUACUGCGUGGCUGGGGUGCAGGAGG